AUCUGGGUUUACAUUAUACAUUUCCAAGGAUGUAGAUGGAAAGCUGGUAGUUAAAUAGAGUUCGAUCAGAGAGUUGAUCGUAGGAGAGGCCAGAUCAUUGUACAUACCAUGGAUGGGGUAAUUAUGUAUGCUGAGUUUAAGCAAUCGGUUCAGCCACAUGACAAUGAAGAAGAUAAUUGAAGUUAUAAACAAGCUAAACGACCAACGAACCAAAUUGCCCUACCCUUCCAAGCCCAGAACCUAAAAUCAAAGAGCGAGGAAAAGAAACUCAAAAUGGAAGCAAAGAAUCAUAUGAUACAUUUUCCAUUUUCAAGUCACGCCUUAAAAGUUCAAACCCUCUUGAAGAAUGAAAGAAGAUUGCCUUGUUUAGGGUCCUUGCUUCCUCCUUUCUUGUUCCCUGCUUUGCCUCCUGGUUUAGAUGGAGCUGCAUUUCCCACUGCAGUCUUCUUGGCUGCGGCUGCCCUGUUGUUAACAGUAUUUGUAACUGCAUUAGUUUCAGCUUUCUUCAUCGCACUAUUGUCAGCGUUCCUUGUUUCUAUCUCCUCUCCCUCCCAGAGUACCUCAGUUACUUCUCUACCACGCUCAUCAAUUCGGGUCAUCAAUACUUUUCUCCUUUUGGGUGAAUUUGAAGCAGCAUUAGUAACUAUAUCUGCUUUAACACCAUCUCCAUUAACAGGGUUCUGGAUAUUCUCUUUAUAGGUGUCUUUAGAGUUCAUACUCUUACAGGCAACUGAAAAAUUUUCCUUCAGAACUUGAUUAGACACUCCGUCAGUUGAUUUUUCUUCCUUUACCUUCAAUUUUUCUUCAUUUUGGUCAUUGACAAUGGGUUUCUCAGGAUGUGUCUUACUGAUUGCCCCCUUUGGAUGAUCAGGUGACGCUAGGCUGACUGCAUCUUCAGACUCAUCAUCCGAAUAAUCAAGGACUACCCUCCUUUUUCUACCACCUUCACCAUUUGAGGCUCUCUUAACAUGUUGAGCCUCAUCAUCACUGCUCCGAUCCUCCAUUGCUUUAAGAGCACAAAUUUGAGAUUCUGCACUGGCUAAUAACAUAAAUAAAACAACCAGAAAACUAGAACAAACCGAUCAAUUAAAUAAAUUCUAGAUUAUAGAAUAGAAAUUUGACUUGUACAAUGCAUAUAAGAAAAUGAUGCAUCAUGGUUAUGAAAAGAAAAUUUCAAAUUCACACUGUAACAAGAUGGAACCAACCAGUAGGAUUUGAAAUGAGACUGUUAUUGCCUGCAGGUGCUGAAGUGAGUUUUGACUUUGCUGAUGCACGACCCCAACAAUUUGCCAAUGAACCUCCAUUUCCAAUGGAACUUUUAUCACUCUGGCCUUUCUUUUCAUUAGUAGGCAAAGGAGGGACUUUUUCUCCAUCUAGAAGAGGCAUAGCCUGAUUAUGAACUCCUAUCCCAUGAAUUUCAGGUUUUACAUCUUUCACCAAAUUGGUAGACUGAUGGCCAACCUUUGGACCUGAUUGAUCAACUUUAAUUUGCUGAGGAGGUUUCCCUAUAAUGUUUUUAUAUGCAGAAUUACUAUUGGACGGCCCCGGGAUUCCCACACUUUUGGUCUGUGGGGCUGCAUUUUUCACAGGAGUUUCAUCAACAUUGCGCUUAACAAAGGGAUUAAGAAUCCCACAGAACCUGUUAUCUCUUAAGCAAUUAUCAACGGUGGAGGGCUGCUUGAAGAGCUCUUCUGCUUGUACAAAUUCAUCAUUCCAAAGUGCAGCUGGAUCCCUCGGGAUUGCAGCUUGCACGCUAUAGAUAUGAAGCGAGCAAUUGCCAUCAAAUUCUUGUUUAGCUUCUUCAAGUUUGGGCCCCGAAACAAGCCUUAUAUGGUAACUGGGAGGAUUGUUCUUCAACCAGCCAGACAGAGUAUAUACUACUUCCAGACCACUUCUGUGUUUCUCCACAAACUCUUGAAGCAAUCUCUUUGCCGCAUUUGAUGACACUAAAAAAUUGCGACUCAACCACUUGUAUGAAACCACUUGAAGUUUAUCAGAGACGAGAGCUUCGAUCUCUUCGAGUAUGCCUAGGGUUUCCAUUUGGGCCAUAAUUUUUCUCUAUUAAUCUCUUAUUUUGUUUGUGGGAUCAAAGGAAAGAGUGUAGUUGAGCAGGAAUAUAAGGAUAUAAAGAUUUUAUGGUUUUGUUCUCCCAACUCUAAGGACUAAGGAUACCUUUUUCCCGCCAUUCUCUCUUUCUCUGCUCUCUCUUGGAUCAGCUGUAUCGAAUUUUGUCGCGACUCUAGCUCUCCG
rnacentral:misc_RNA from 1 species